AAGGACGUCGCGCAGGAAGCGCAGCUUUUAAAAAGGAUACGUUGGAAAGCCGCCAGGAUGGCGAGUUGAUCAAGGAUGUCAGGACAUAGUCUGCAAAACCUCGCUUCGGCGGGGUUUU
rnacentral:sRNA from 2 species